UCGCUCCUUUUCGGACGUCGGGAUGGUGAGGUGACGGUUGGUCGGAGAGGCCUAAGGGCCGUCGCGCAUGCGCAAGGCGGGAGAAGGGCUCGCCCGCAUGGAGGGCGCGCGCGCAUGCGCGGAGGGAGCCCCGCGAAGCCCCGGAUGAAGCUGCCCACCUUGGGCCGCCAUGGCUGCCCUUGGGCCUAGCAGAUUGCAACCAAUCUCAAGUAUGUGAGGAGGCAUCUGACUACGGUGACAUGAUUAAUAAAAAAAGCAUGACUUGAACACCAAGUUGUUAGAGCAAUUGCUAUGUGAGGUAGCUUUAUGUAAAUGACUGUAUUCCAAAAUUGAAAUAAAGGGUCAUUUAGAAAAA